GGAGCGUUGCCCGACCGGUAAGGGGUGGGACUGUAAAUCCCAAGCACGCUAGUUCGUAGGUGGUUCAAUUCCAUCACGCUCCACCA
rnacentral:tRNA from 1 species